AAGGAUGUGGAGUCGCAUAGACAGCCAGGAGGUUGGCUCAGAAGCAGCCACCCUUGAAAGAGUGCGUAACAGCUCACUGGUCUAGUGGUUCCGCGCCGACAAUGUAGCGGGGCUCAAGCACACCACCGAAGACGCGGCAGUAUUUUGUACUGGGUAGGAGAGCGUCCCAUGAGGGGCGAAGCGGCCGUGUGAACGCGCCGUGGACUUCAUGGGAGUGAGAAUGCAGACAUGAGUAGCGAGAGACGGGUGAAGAUCCCGUCCGCUGGAUGACCAAGGGUUCCAGGGCCACGUUCAUCGUCCCUGGGUGAGUCGGGUCCUAAGGCGAGGCCGACAGGCGUAGUCGAAUGGAUGAACGGGUCGAUAUUCCCGUACCGGCUUUCAGCCGCCAAAACCGAGGCUUGGAGUACUAACCUCCGGGUCCGGGCUUACUGCUCCUUCGGGGGCGGGAUGCCCUGGCCUGUUGGGACCGAUCCUUGUAGUAGGUCAGCGCAGGAGUGACGCAGAAGGGUAGCCGGCCGCGGAGGUGGUCUUCCGUGGUCAAGCACGCAGGGCGUGGGACAGGCAAAUCCGUCCCGCAUGGGUCCGAGGUGCGAUGAUGGGGGCCUUAUGGCCCGAUAUCCGGUGAUCCCGGCUGCCGAGAAAAGCUUCGGCGUCAGGCUCAAAGCCGCCCGUACCCCAAACCGACACUGGUGGUCAGGUAGAGAAUACCAAAGCGAUCGAGCGAAUCCUGGUCAAGGAACUCGGCAAAUCACUCCCGUUCCUUCGGUUUAAGGGAGACCCCCGAUGGUGAACACACUUGCUGUGGGAGCUUUUGGGGGUGGCACAGACCAGGGGGUAGCGACUGUUUACCAAAAACACAGGUGCAUGCGAAGGCGCAAGCCGCUGUAUAUGCACUGACGCCUGCCCGGUGCCGGAAGGUUAAGAGGAUCCGUCAGCCUUCGGGUGAAGCGGUGAAUUCAAGCCCCGGUAAACGGCGGUGGUAACUAUAACCAUCCUAAGGUAGCGAAAUUCCUUGUCGGGUAAGUUCCGACCUGCACGAAUGGCGUAACGACUUCCCCACUGUCUCGACCAGGAGCUCGGCGAAAUUGCAGUACGAGUAAAGAUGCUCGUUAAGCGCAGAAGGACGAAAAGACCCCGGGACCUUUACUAUACCUUGGUAUUGGCAUUCGGUGUGGAUUGUGUAGCAUAGGCGGGAGGCCGAGAGGCGCGGUCGCCAGAUCGCGCGGAGCCGUAAGGUGAAAUACCGCUCUGUUCGCAUUGGAUGUCUAACCUCGAACAGUCAUCCUGUUCAGGGACAGUGCCUGGCGGGUAGUUUAACUGGGGCGGUUGCCUCCCAAAGAGUAACGGAGGCGCCCAAAGGUCCGCUCAGCCCGGUUGGCAAUCGGGUGGCGAGUGCAAGUGCACAAGCGGGCUUGACUGCGAGGACGACGGUCCGAGCAGGGACGAAAGUCGGGACUAGUGAUCCGGUGCCGGUGUACGGACGCGGCAUCGCUCAACGGAUAAAAGGUACCCCGGGGAUAACAGGCUGAUCAUUCCCAAGAGUCCAUAUCGACGGGAUGGUUUGGCACCUCGAUGUCGGCUCGUCGCAUCCUGGGGCUGGAGCAGGUCCCAAGGGUUCGGCUGUUCGCCGAUUAAAGCGGCACGCGAGCUGGGUUCAGAACGUCGUGAGACAGUUUGGUCUCUAUCCUCUGCGCUCGUUGGAAUGCUGAGGAGGCCUGCCCAUAGUACGAGAGGACCUGGGUGGACGAACCUCUGGUAUGCCGGUUGUCACGCCAGUGGCACGGCCGGUUGGCUACGUUCGGAAGGGAUAACCGCUGAAAGCAUCUAAGCGGGAAGCCUGCUCCAAGAUAAGCAUUCCGUGGAACCUUCGAGUUCCUGUAGUCCCCAUGCAGAACACGUGGUCGAUAGGCCGGACGUGGAAGCCCCGCGAGGGGUGGAGCCGACCGGUACUAACGGACGAAAGGCAACACUAA
rnacentral:rRNA from 1 species